UAUCAAUACGUGAAUCUAUACUCGUAUAAGUUUUUGCUGGAGUAUAAUUAUCAAUCUGAUUAUCAAUAUGUUUGUAUGUAGGUGGAUUAUCAACCUGAACAUUCCUGCAUGGAUAAUAGCAAUGAAUGGCAAACAAGUCCAUUUAGUUGGGACUUUUGAUAUCUCAUUGAAGAACAUUUUUGAGCAUGAUUAAAGAAAACGUGCCAGAACUUCCUUGAUGUGGAUUUGGCUUGAAAGUAAUGAAAUUCAUUGAUCAGUCGUUGAAGAGUUAGAGACUGAAUUCUCCCUGCCUCUCAAGACUUUUAAGCUGCCUCUCAAGACUUUUAAGCAUUGAAAAAGGUUGAUAGCUUGAAGUACAUUGCAGCAGAGCUAUGUUUCUUUAUUAUUGUUAGAUACAAGGUGAUUUGAUCUUGUUGAUUUAGGGCAGUUUAUGUGUAGAACAUCUCAGCUAGAAAUAACAGUUUUACUAGAAUUUUGGUUUUUGAACUUGGUUUGAAUCAGAUUGUAAAGAAUUUUUUGUCCAAUUUAAAUUACUUCAUUCGUAAUUUGAUGCUUCUUACUAUGCU